rnacentral:rRNA from 1 species
CAGCCGCCGCGGGAAUAUGUAGGUGGCAAGCGUUGUCCGGAAUUAUUGGGCGUAAAGGGCUCGCAGGCGGUUUCUUAAGUCUGAUGUGAAAGCCCCCGGCUCAACCGGGGAGGGUCAUUGGAAACUGGGAAACUUGAGUGCAGAAGAGGAGAGUGGAAUUCCACGUGUAGCGGUGAAAUGCGUAGAGAUGUGGAGGAACACCAGUGGCGAAGGCGACUCUCUGGUCUGUAACUGACGCUGAGGAGCGAAAGCGUGGGGAGCGAACAGGAUUAGAUACCCCCGUAGUCCCUGUCUCUUAUAC